rnacentral:rRNA from 1 species
UACGGAAGGCAGCAGUGGGGAAUAUUGCACAAUGGGCGCAAGCCUGAUGCAGCCAUGCCGCGUGUAUGAAGAAGGCCUUCGGGUUGUAAAGUACUUUCAGUCGUGAGGAAGGUGUUAAGGUUAAUAACCUUAGCAAUUGACGUUAGCGACAGAAGAAGCACCGGCUAACGUCCGUGCCAGCAGCCGCGGUAAUACGGAGGGUGCGAGCGUUAAUCGGAAUUACUGGGCGUAAAGGGCACGCAGGCGGUUAAUUAAGUUGGAUGUGAAAUCCCCGGGCUUAACCUGGGAAUGGCAUUCAAGACUGGUUAGCUAGAGUCUUGUAGAGGGGGUAGAAUUCCAUGUGUAGCGGUGAAAUGCGUAGAGAUGUGGAGGAAUACCGGUGGCGAAGGCGGCCCCUGGACAAAGACUGACGCUCAUGUGCGAAAGCGU